AAUUUUGGACAAGGGGGGCAACCGUGAUCCAGCCAUCCCGCGUGUGCGAUGAAGGNCUNNGGGUUNANAAGAACUUUUGGCAGNNNNNAAACGGCGCUANCAAAUACCUGGCGCUAAUGUCGGUACCUGCUGAAUAAGCACCGGCUACAUACGUGCCAGCAGCAGCGGUAAUACGUAGGGUGCAAGCGUUAAACGGAAUUACUGGGCGUAAAGCGUACGCAGGCUGUUCGGAAAGUAAGAUGUGAAAUCCCAGAGCUUAACUUUGGAACUGCAUUUUUAACUACCGGGCUAGAGUGUGUCAGAGGGAGGUGGAAUUCCGCGUGUAGCAGUGAAAUGCGUAGAUAUGCGGAGGAACACCGAUGGCGAAGGCAGCCUCCUGGGAUAACACUGACGCUCAUGCACGAAAGCGUGGGGAGCAAACA
rnacentral:rRNA from 1 species